rnacentral:hammerhead_ribozyme from 1 species
AUCCAGAUGACAAGUCCCAAAUAGGACGAAACGCGCGUCAAACUGGAU